GCCACUGGACUCAAAGCAGAUAGGGGAGGAGGUGGAGGCCCAGCCAGACACAAUAAGAAAUAAUCCUCAGGGCAAACCCUAAGCAUGGUGGCUAGGCACAGCUCAAACCUGUGGGGCCGACACUGAAGCUCUGCCAUCAUGGAGUUCAUUGGGAGGUGCUUGUGUCUUGCACUUCACUGCCCUGCACAGGGCUGUGUGAUGGUCACUGGUGUCUGGUGGUUAGUUACCUCAGCCCUUGGCAGCAGCCAUCUCAAGACCAACAGUGGCCAUCUCAAGACUGGUGGUCACCACAGAUCUGCGGUCACCAUUAGUGCCUGGUGGUGAUCACAGCUCUGCAGCCAUUUCAGCCUGGCAGUGGCCAACACAAUCCUAGUGGUGACCUCAAGCCUGGUGCCCGCCACUGCUCCAAAAAACCUCAGCCUGCUCUACAAAAUCUCGAGCCCCCAGAUGGUCGUAUAUGGCAUGAAUUUAGAAACAUGUUCCCAUGACUUGCUUCAAGCAACUUCUUCUUCCCUAAGUGCUGACUGAACCAAUUAUCAAGAGUGUCACAAGAAUGUAGAAAAAUAUUCUAUUACCAAAGACCAUGCAGCUUUGCAAUGACCA